CAGAGUGGCAGGCAGCAGUGAGCUCACUAGGGAAUUACCUCCGCUCACACAGAUACAAAUGUUCUUUGGGUGCCGGUGUCCGGAGUUACCAGUCUGGAAGACUUUGUGUGCAAGCUCGUGCAGAAUCGUGGAGUUUUUUUCAACAAGUGGUUGGAGUCUGCUUCAAUGCCAUCCCCCAGGUUAUUCUGCUUUACGUCACUUUCUGGUAAGCUGGUGGCUGUUUUUGAGAAUCCCUGGGAUGUUUGGACCCAUAUUCCUCAACUAUGGCUUAGUGCAGGACUAGGCAACCAUCAGCACUACAUCUCAAUGCUCCAAUAAUGCUGGGAAACCAUCAAGCAAGGUGUAGUCCAAAACAUCUGGAG